rnacentral:rRNA from 1 species
UACGUAGGUGGCAAGCGUUGUCCGGAUUUACUGGGCGUAAAGAGCGCGCAGGCGGUCGUGCAAGUCGCGUGUGAAAGCCCCCGGCUCAACUGGGGAGGGUCACGCGAUACUGCUCGACUCGAAGGCAGGAGAGGGAAGUGGAAUUCCCGGUGUAGUGGUGAAAUGCGCAGAUAUCGGGAAGAACACCCGUGGCGAAGGCGGCUCUCUGGGACGGUACUGACGCUGAGACGCGAAAGCGUGGGGAGCGAACAGG